GCCAUAACACGCUUCCAAAUAAGAGAUUAUUUGCAACUCUUUACAGAGUGUCAGCAAGACAAGCCAAAAGCCAGCUACACAGACAGACACAAGGAAACAGACAUAAAGGAAGAAACGUAAACUGAAUUGUAAAUAUACAAAAGGAGGAACUUAUCAACAAACUUAGCUAACAUCAACACCCCCAAAUAUCAGCUGACAGACUGACGCAUGGCCCGAAUAACAGACCAAAACCAAUCGUAACCUCUGUUCUUCCCCGCGACAAAAAGAUGCACGAGUUUUGCUAUAGAUCUUGAUUACCUUCAGAAAAUCUUCUUUAAAAAAUGUGAUCAUCUUACACUUAGAUGUGCUAUCUGUGACAUAAGGGCAGGAUACAUUAAAAUCUGAUAUUCAGUCGA